AGCAUACCAAACCUAAUUUACAUUAUAUAAUCUAUUAUGUCUAGUAGUAAUCAAACGAUUAUUGUUUAUAGCUCAUAACCUAUUAUCAUAACUGAUUAUUCAUAAAUAGGUCAUAAAUAUAAAUAUAAACUAUGCCAAAGAGAGCCCUAAAUAAAAUCUGUUCCAUUUUU